AGAAGUGGUCCUGUCACAUACCUAACUAUCUUCUUUACCUCUGAUGCAUCUGAUACCUGAUUUAUGUUUGAGAUGGAGCAUCUCAACACUGAAAGAAAUGUAGUAUUUUAGUAAAAGCCAUAACAGAGUCAACGGGAUCAAAAAGAUUGUAUGUAAUCUCAAACUGCAAAAAUUAAAUAAUAAAAAAAAAAAAAGAAAAAACUUUUAGAAGUAAAACUGGUUCUUAACCUUUACAGUAGGGAAUUAGAAGGAAACUUCUGUUUAGCAUUCUGAUAUGUAAUGCUUCAAGGCAAAACACUGAAAGUAAUGAGAGGCAAUCAUUAUGCUCUGAGAGAAAAUCCUGGGAGUAGAAGGAGCUUUCUCACUAACAACCAGUUCACUCCAGUAGACCAGGAGUUGUUUGGAAGUGAAAGACCAGGAAUGAGAGCUGUAGCUUCACAAAGAUUUUUGCUGGAAGAGCUAGUGAAGUAUCUACGUAUGCAAUAGGUCAAGAGCAUCAUUAAGCUCUAAUCUCUUGGAGGAGAAAAUGCAGGUGAGAAAACCUGCGUUAAGGGAUUUAAGUGCUCUGAGAUGGGAUUCAGGAUGAAGAUAGGUCUGUUGUGUCUGUUGCUGCUUUUCUGUCUCUAAUUGGCCAGUUCUUUACCAGCAGUACCUGAAAACUCAUCUGCUUCAGGAAUCGCUGAGGAGUUCCUUCUGUUAUACUGUAGCCAAUAACCUGAAAUUCAUUUUCUCAUAUGGGUAGAAUUUGAUAGAUAUCAAAUAUCAAUAAAAUUAAUAAAACUUAUAUUUGGCAU
rnacentral:lncRNA from 1 species